rnacentral:rRNA from 1 species
UUGACCUCGGAUCAGGUAGGAAUACCCGCUGAACUUAAGCAUAUCAAUAAGCGGAGGAAAAGAAACCAACAGGGAUUGCCCCAGUAACGGCGAGUGAAGCGGCAACAGCUCAAAUUUGAAAUCUGGUCCCCAGGGCCCGAGUUGUAAUUUGUAGAGGAUGCUUUUGGUGAGGUGCCGCCCGAGUUCCCUGGAACGGGACGCCACAGAGGGUGAGAGCCCCGUCUGGCUGGCCGCCGAGCCUCUGUAAAGCUCCUUCGACGAGUCGAGUAGUUUGGGAAUGCUGCUCAAAAUGGGAGGUAUAUGUCUUCUAAAGCUAAAUAUUGGCCAGAGACCGAUAGCGCACAAGUAGAGUGAUCGAAAGAUGAAAAGCACCUUGAAAAGAGGGUUAAAUAGUACGUGAAAUUGUUGAAAGGGAAGCGCUUGUGACCAGACUUGGGCGCGGCGGAUCAUCCGGGGUUCUCUCCGGUGCACUUCGCCGCGUCUAGGCCAGCAUCAGUUCGUCGCGGGGGAAAAAGGCUUCGGGAACGUGGCUCCUCCGGGAGUGUUAUAGCCCGUUGCAUAAUACCCUGCGGUGGACUGAGGACCGC